rnacentral:rRNA from 1 species
AUGGAUGAGAGAAGUGAUAUGGACAAGUCAGAGGAGGUACUUCUGCCUGGUUUCCGGUUUCAUCCGACAGAUGAAGAGCUGGUAGGUUUUUAUCUCAAGCGAAAGAUUCAGCAGAAACCCCUUUCAAUUGAGCUCAUCAGGCAGCUGGACAUCUACAAAUAUGACCCAUGGGAUCUUCCAAAACUUGCAAGUUCUGGGGAAAAAGAAUGGUAUUUCUACUGCCCAAGGGACCGGAAGUACCGUAAUAGUGCUAGACCAAACAGAGUCACAGGAGCUGGAUUCUGGAAAGCAACAGGAACAGAUAGGCCCAUUUACUCCUCCGAGGGAACCAAGUGCAUAGGCCUGAAGAAGUCUCUUGUCUUUUAUAAAGGGAGAGCAGCAAAAGGGAUCAAGACUGACUGGAUGAUGCAUGAGUUCAGGCUUCCUUCACUAACUGAUCCAUCACUUCCUAAAGUACCAAUAGACAAAAACAUUCCAGCCAAUGAUGCCUGGGCUAUUUGUAGGAUAUUUAAAAAGCCUAGUUCAAUGGCACAAAGAGCGCUAUCCCACUCCUGGGGUCCUCAGUCAACUGCAACAAUAGAGCCAGAUCUCUUAUCUGCCCUGCAAUCCAUACAAGCUUCACAUUUUGCUUUCGAAAGCUCCCCUUGCUCAGCAGAAGUUGCAAUACCUGUGAGUCGGCUCAAUAGCCAGCAUUACUUUCAUGAGCAGCAGCAGCAGAAACCCAACAGUUCACAAAAUGGCUCUUCAUGUAAAGUCAUAAAUUUCAGCCGUGGUCCGUCUUUAACUCAUAUAUCAGACAAAGACAUCCAUAGUGGUCCAAUCAUCUUUCCAUUUGAAACACAGACCCUCCAGAGGUCAUCAGAUGCCGUGCUUUUCAGCAUAGCCCCUGGAAUAAUCAAUAGCAUGAAUGAAGCCUCGCCAGAGAUAGAGUUUGAACACCCUGAACAGUGCAACGGGUACGCAGUUGAUUGGGUUAUAGACACAAAUGAAGGUAUUGGAAAUAGGGACGAAGAUCCAUAUACAAGAAAACCUGACAAUGGACACAAUACAGGCAAUGAGUAUGGAGUUCCACCCAAAAUAAAAUUCCCCUUUGAUUUGGGGUUACAUUCUUCAGAUGAUUGGAUAUCCAAUGUGCCAUGUGAAUCUCUCAAUUGUCCCCCUGCCUCUCUGAGAGAUGUCCAAUAG